UUGCACAUGUCUAUCAAUGACUUUUCCAUCUCCCAUCCUGUUCUUGGACAAUCAACAUCUUCACAUUCCAUGGUGACUGGAUGAAGGUGCCAAUGCUACCUGUGUGGAUAGAAAUGCUAUAGUAUGGUGUGAGCCGUCUCUUCUAGUUACAUCGUCCCAUCCUUGGUGUCUCAAUGGGAUGAUGUAACUAGAACAGGGGGGGUUCCACACCUUUCACACCCCCCAUGCUGGAUAAUCAACAUCUGUCUCAUCACAUCUAAUGGUGAUUGGAUGGAGGUGUUGGUGUCACCUGAGUACAUGUUGGGGGAUCUUUCUGACACUCAUUACAAUGAAAAAAGUGGCUUAGAGAAUCUACAAAAUGUCUUCAACAUUACAGAACAAGUCCAGCUGAAUGUGACUAACUGCUACUAGAUAAACAAUGAAGGGUUUGUCCAUACUGCAUUGUAUAAAAUAAUGCUUAGUUUAUAUUACAAUAAUGGAACAUAUGAGGUGUGUCCAGAAAAUAAUGAGAAUGAUGCUUUAAAAAUGAUUUUAUUGAAAAAUGUUACAACUGAACACAGUCUUCUAGUGGGAUGGCGCUCAGAGCCGGUGUAGUGGUCCUUUGGGCGUUAUCCACGCUACCAAAAUGGC